GCCUGGUCCGGUUAGCUCAGUUGGUAGAGCGCUCCCCUGGAAAUGGAGAGGUCCCGGGUUCGAUACCCGGACCAGGCG
rnacentral:tRNA from 1 species